rnacentral:rRNA from 1 species
GACAGAGGGUGCAAACGUUGUUCGGAAUUACUGGGCGUAAAGCGCGUGUAGGCUGUCUCGAAAGUCGGAUGUGAAAGCCCUGGGCUCAACCUAGGAAGUGCAUUCGAAACUUCGAGACUCGAGUCCGGUAGGGGAUCACGGAAUUCCUGGUGUAGCGGUGAAAUGCGCAGAUAUCAGGAGGAACACCGGUGGCGAAGGCGGUGAUCUGGGCCGGCACUGACGCUGAGGAGCGAAAGCGUGGGUAGCAAACAGG